CCUACGGGUGGCAGCAGUGGGGAAUAUUGGACAAUGGGCGAAAGCCUGAUCCAGCCAUGCCGCGUGUGUGAAGAAGGCCUUCGGGUUGUAAAGCACUUUCAGUGGGGAAGAAAGCCUUGGGGCUAAUACCCUCGAGGAAGGACAUCACCCACAGAAGAAGCACCGGCUAACUCCGUGCCAGCAGCCGCGGUAAUACGGAGGGUGCGAGCGUUAAUCGGAAUUACUGGGCGUAAAGCGCGCGUAGGCGGUCUGAUAAGCCGGUUGUGAAAGCCCCGGGCUCAACCUGGGAACGGCAUCCGGAACUGUCAGGCUAGAGUGCAGGAGAGGAAGGUAGAAUUCCUGGUGUAGCGGUGAAAUGCGUAGAGAUCGGGAGGAAUACCAGUGGCGAAGGCGGCCUUCUGGACUGACACUGACGCUGAGGUGCGAAAGCGUGGGUAGCAAACAGGAUUAGAUACCCUUGUAGUC
rnacentral:rRNA from 1 species